UCUUUAUAUUCAGCUCGCGCCUCCUUAUUGAUUANAGUUUGAUCUUCGCUCAGGGUGAACGCUGGCGGCGUGCCUAACACAUGCAAGUAGAGCGGGUACCCGCAAGGGUGCCAGCGGCGCACGGGUGAGUAACACGUGGGUAAUCUACCCCUUGGAGGGGGAUAACCAGGGGAAACUCCGGCUAAUACCCCAUACGAUCCAGCAACGAAGGUCACUGGAUGAAAGGAGCGUUUUGCUCCGCCGAGGGAUGAGCCCGCGUCCCAUCAGGUAGUUGGUGGGGUAAUGGCCCACCAAGCCUAUGACGGGUAGCCGGCCUGAGAGGGUGGUCGGCCACAAGGGCACUGAGACACGGGCCCUACUCCUACGGGAGGCAGCAGUGGGGAAUCUUGGACAAUGGGCGAAAGCCUGAUCCAGCGACUCCGCGUGGGGGGAAUAAGCCCUUCCAGGGUGUAAACCCUUUGUUGCCGAGGGUACGAAAUAAGGCUUGAAUGAAAAUUGCCUANGCCCGAUGAACUGUUACCUUUGCAUAAAAAAAAAACUGUGUUUAAUGUACGUGUCCUGU
rnacentral:rRNA from 1 species